AUGGCUGCUUAAGCACUGCGUGGUGACUCCUUCAACGUGUGUUUAUGCUCUGCGGGCAGUAAUAGUCUUUUUCGCCGUCUAUCCCCUUUUUGCUCUUUCCUGGAGUGUGUGUGAGUGGAGUGGCGAACGCAAUUCGCAUAAAGUCUGCUGUAGUUUAAGAAUUUCAUAUAGGAGGUGCGGCCUGAGAGUGCUAGCUGCUGUUUCAUAUACCCGUUUUAUACACUGCUGUUUCAUCGCUCGGUUUAUGUGGCUGAUUCCGACGGCUGUGGAUGCCGUUGUUUUGAACUGUGAUUUGCCGGGUGCUUUCUAAGACUAAUCUGUCCUGUUAAUUCGUAUGAUAUAUUUAUGCAGACGUAUUUGACAUCCUCGUUUUUAGUGUUACUGUAUUAAAUUAAUUGCUGUACCUGUGUAUUGAAGCAGUCUGGACGGUUUUAAAAUAAUAUUAGUGACAAUGUAAUUUUGCUUAAGUGUUUGUACCUGUUUAUUUUAUUUUAUUUUUUUCUUUGUUUCUUUGGUUCUCUCUGAAAUACCAAACCUUUAUUUGCCAGUGUAUUUACCUACUUGUGAAUGUUUGAUGACCUGUGAUUUUGAAGCUUAACAGCAGGAGAGUGCUCACUUUUUGUUGUGGUAUUGUGCGUUUUUUUGGAUUGUCACUGGCUUUAAGAAUUUCCAUUCACUGAUUGCUGUGUGAUUUUUCUC